ACAAAAGCUUAUAAAAAUAUAGAUUUGAACCAUCUCUGUUUCCUGUAUCAGUGCCUUUAUGUAUUCUUGCUUUUGAAUGGGUGGAGUCCAUUGAAGCAGUAUAUUAUGAGUACAGUUUAUAAAAACCGAAUAGACCAUUGCCAGUCCCGUACUCAAUAAAAGGACUUAUCUCACGUGAAAACAUGGGGAAAAAAAAUAGAAAUUUCACUCUAAUAGUAUCAAUCCUCUUUUAAAAGUGAGAAAACCACAGUCAGGUUUAUAUAGUUUCCUACAAUCACAUAAAUGGUAAAUCCUAAGACAGAAGAAAUGAAUUUUGCACCAGAGAAGUUAAUUUGAACUACUUUGUUAUAUGUCUCCAGUGACUUGAAGCUUAGCAACUCAGAAGUGGUUAGUACCCACAGUAAAAGUUUGAAAGUAAGAUUUGCUCUGCUCCCCUUAAAGUGUAAAUGCAGCUUCACUGUUUGACCUGACCGGCCCUCUUUUGUGUUUCUAGAGACUUCCUGGACCAGUGUUUCUUUCAGUCUAGAGACCCACACAACAAAAGUUCAAUGGCUCUUUUCCACUUCUGAUUUUGUAAAAUACAGAAUAGUAUAAGGUUGCCACACCUACAUUAAAACAAUAAAUUUACCUUUAACUGAUAAUUUAUCAACUCAGUGUGCUAAAAAGUUGAUCUAAUGGUAAAGAGAAACAUGGAUGGUAUCUUUCUAUUCCAUGAACAAUUACUUCUGUUUUAAAGCCUUCAAAACAUUGGAGUACAAUAAACCUUACUCAACAGCUAUGUGAGAAUAGUUUACUGAUAUUUGGGAAAUAUGUACAGUUGUUCAGAUGAUAAAGAAUCUGCUGUAAUCCAGGAGACCCAGGUUCAAUCCCUGGGUCAGGAAGAUCCCCUGGAGAGGGAAUGGCAACCCAUUCCAGUAUUCUUGUCUGGAGAAUUCCAUGAACAGAGGAGCCUGGCAAGCUACAGUCCAUGAGGUCUCAAAGAGUCAGACAUAACUGAGUGACUUUCACAGCAACAACAAUAACACCAUUGUUUCUUACAUCAUCUGGUAACUCAGAGAAACCUCCUUUUUCUUUCUUGCUUUUCUAAUAUUGUUAGCUUGAUACUUUAUUUAGACUUGCCUUGCUCUGAGUUUUAAGAUCUUUUAGAACAGUGUUUUCUCAACUCUACUGCUUACAGACCUGCAGGGGGAUGGGCAAGUGGGGCAGGAGGUGGGUGUAGUUUGAAAAAGUCCUCAGUGUUAUUCAGAUUUCCCAUCUGCAUCAUCACCUAUUCCAGAAGGCAUCCAUUUUGUGAUAGAAUUUCAGUGGCCUCAGAAAGACCACCCCUGCUCCAGACUAGCUUGGGCUCUCAUUGCAUAGUAAACCUAGAGUAUGGUUUUUGACUGUUCCCCAUUUUCCAGAAUAAGGAGCUUGAACUCUAAUCCUGGAGUCUGGCACGCCUGGAUUUAUAACAAGUCUGAGUCAGGCACCACUUCAAAAGCUGAUCUUUUCAUCAGUACUUCACGACCUUCAUCUGUAAAGUAAAAAUUAUGAUACUGGCCGUGCAAGGAUUUUGUGAAGAUGAAAAGACUUUACCUAUAUGGCAUGUUAGCAGGCGUGGUGCCUAGUAGAUAAUAGGAAUUAAAAGAUAUAAUUAUUAUGGCCAUCAUUAUACAUAUUAAAUAAUGAAGAGUAGUUUACUGAUUAAAUGUCCCACAGAUUCAGUGCUGUGGGGUUUAUCUUUGUAAAGUCAGCCAUAUUGAGAGGAGUGAUUUUUCUCUGGGCCCACCCCCUUGAUUCCUGAGUAUCAUGGCUUUGCUGAUUUAAUCAUGGCUUUGCUGAUUUGAAAAAGUUGCAUUUCAGAUAGUCUUCUCACUGGCAGAUCAUAGUAGACAAGAAACCUCACCUUUUCCUUCUAAGAAAAGAAAUAGUCCCUCUUCCUAUGUCUGAAGUUGUCUUUUUGUCUUCUUACUUUGAAUACAGGCAGUUUGUGAUAAGUUGCAUAAGUGCCUUAGUUUUUCCAUCUGUAAAAUAGGGCUAACAAUCCCAUCCUAUAGUACUUCUCCAGACUCUUGAGAAACUAAAAGUAUGUGAUAUGGAAAAAAAAAGAAAAACAAACAAACAAACAAACAGCAGCAUUCCCACAGAUAGAAAAUUAACCAUUUAAACUUUGUAAAGAAAGCUGAGCGCCGAAGAUUGAUGGUUUUGAACUGUGGUGUUGGAGAAGACUCUUGAGACUCCCUUGGACUGCAAGGAGAUCCAACCAGUCCAUUCUAAAGGAGAUCAGUCCUGGGAUUUCUUUGGAAGGAAUGAUGCUGAAGCUGAAACUCCAGUACUGUGGCCACCUCAUGUGAAGAAUUGACUCAUUGGAAGACUCUGAUGCUGGGAGGGAUUGGGGGCAGGAGGAGAAGGGGAUGACAGAGGAUGAGAUGGCUGGAUGGCAUCACUGACUCGAUGGAUGUGAGCCUGAGUGAACUCUGGGAGAUGGUGAUGGACAGGGAGGCCUGGCAUGCUUCGAUUCAUGGGGUCGCAAAGAGUCGGACACGACUGAGCGACUGAACUGAACUGAACAGCAAAUUUAGGGCUUCCUUGUUGGCUCAGAUGGUAAAGAAUCUGCCUGCAAUGUGGGAGACCUGGGUUCAAUCCCUGAGUCAGGUAGAUCCCCUGGAGAAGGGAACAGUUUACCUACUCCUGUAUUCUUUCCUGGAGAAUUCCAUGGACAGAAGAGCCUGGCGGGCGAGAGUCCAUGGAGUUGCAAAGAGUCAGACACAACUGAGCAACUAACACAUAAACACAGAGGAAUUUUUGUAAAUGGAAUUCCAGGGAAGGAGAAGUAGCGCAGUCUUCUUAAGCUAGUCCUUCCCAAGGAGAAGAUGUCUCUCUCAGUGCCUCUCCUUGCCACUAUCUCUUUGUCUCUGUCUCUGCCUGUCUGUCUGUGUCUUUCUCUCUCACUCCUUCCCUCUCUUUCCUUUUUCUCUCUUGUAGUGUCUGCCUUACUGCUCAACAGUUCCUUUCUCAGAUCUAACAUGAAAGUGAAAGUGAAGUCGCUCAGUUGUGUCUGACUCCUUGUGACCCCAUGGACUGUAGCCUACAAGGUUCCUCCAUCCAUGGAAUUUUCCA
ensembl:lncRNA